GAGAAAUGGAAAAUUAUAGUAAAGUAAGCGAAUGAAAGUGCAAGAUACGGUGAAAUAUAUAUCCAAAACCAUAAAGUGUCUACUAGCAUGUUAUCAAGACCCGGUGUCACAAGUGUAUGAACAACUAAUAGAAUAUACAAAACACCUAUGCUACUGUCUGAAAUAAGAUAGAUAGAAAGUAAAUACAAAAAAGAGACUGUGGGUGCCGCAGAUCGGACUCAGAAUGCAUCUCACCACUAUGCCUCGGGGUAACAGGGGUACGCGCCUGAAUGACUACCAGAUGCACCUGCCUCAGAUCCUGCACGAUUAGUACAGAAAUGUAGCGUGAAUACAUAAAUAACAUGUACCUAGUAAGUAUCCAGUCUAACCUCGAAAAAGUAGUGACGAGGGUCGACAUCGACACUUACUAUGGGCCAACAACAAAAAUACAGAAAUUCUAAGUAGACAUGGAAUAUGCGAAUAAUAAUAAUAACACAAUAACAAGAAGUGAAUAAAUGAUUCUUUAACUGAUAGUCUAUUUAAAGAUCUCCAACUAACACAUACUAACUCCAAUAAAUUUCGGGUCAAUAAUUUAAAUUAUAACCUUUUAAAUCAUCAAUAUAAUAUCAAGUGAAAUCGGGAUCCAAGCAUAUUCACGCACGAUUUAUGCCGAGAUCGUACGACCCGAUCAAAAAUACUGUGUACACUGCCGAGGGCCGAACGACACGAACCAUAGAUGCAUCUACUAUACUUCCACGUUCGGCCCGCUCCACAGGAAGAUAGAAUACUCUAUGAACAUCUGAUUUAAAAGCUAUCACAAGACUAAUACACAAUGGAAUAGAAUUUCUAUUAACGGUCAAGUAACCCGCCAAAACUCAAAGUAAGAGAAAUUAGGUCUUUACAAACCAUUUAUCAAGUUUCAAUAUAAUUUAGGCACUUAAAUUAACAAGUAGAGUGCACACAAUACAAGUAUUUCAUGAUUUGGGGUCCUAAAAUUACCCGGACUUAAGCAUGAUUAGUAGCUAUGCACGGACUCUCGUCACCUCGUGCGUACGUAGCCCUCACAAUUAGAGGCAAAUAGUAAUUUAAAACACCUCUAUGGUAAAUUCCCUCUAACAAGGUUAGGCAAGAUACUUACCUCGUCCCGAAUCUCACUUUCCGACACACAAAUUGACUCUAAGGCCUCAACUUGGUGGCAAACAAUCCGAAACUAGUCAAAUAUUAUAUAAAUCAAUCAAUAUACACUCACAAGUUCAUAAUUUAGCUAUUAGAGUGAUUACCCAACCCAAAUUGGAAGAUUCCUAAAUCUCACUCCCGGGCACACGUGUUCGAAUUCCAGAUAUUUUCGAAGAUAACUGUUACUCAUACCCUCACGUACUCAAAUAUAAAAUUUCUACCCAAUUCCAUAACCAUUUUCGUGGUUAAAUCUCAUUUUUAUCAAAACCUAGGUUUUUCAAAUAAACCCAUAAUUUUCACAAUUUUGCAUAUUAAAAUCUACCCACAAUUUAUGUAUUAAACUUACAUUGGGUAGGACUUACUUACCUUCGAUAGCUAGGUGAAAAUCCCUCUUCAAAGAGCUCUAAAAUCGUCCAAUAAGUGAAAGAAACAAACCAAAAUAGCCUAAAUUCCGAUAUAAAUACACCUCACUGCCCCCCAGUGGUUUCCGCUUCUGUGGAAUAUUUGGUUGCUUCUGCGGUUCUACAUCUACGGAGGUUGCAUUGCAGAUGCGGCUCCCCGAUUGGCCUCUUUCCGUUUCUGCGACGCCUACUUCACAUCUGCGGGCCACUGACCACUUCUGCCGUCGUACACCUGCACCCCCGUGUUCGCACCUGCGUACUCAGCCCCCAUAGCCCAGCCUCGCACAUGCGGCUAGCUAGCCGCUUCUGCGAUGCCACACCUGCGGCCAAUUCAUCGCAGGUGCGAACACAUCAGAACCUCUGCUGCUUCAGCAAUUCUUCCAAGUCCAAACAUGUUCCGCACAUCGUCCGAACAACAUCUGAGGCCCCGGGGGACUCGUUCAAACAUACCAACAAGUUUGAAAUCAUAAAACGGACUCGCUCGAACUCUCGGAACAUGUAAAACAACAUCAAAACUAAGGAUUACACCCAAACCAAAUCAAAUCAACUUAUGAACUUCAUGUUUUUCCAACUUACUCCAAAUUUGCCGAAUCAUACUAAAACUACCUCGAAUGAUGCCAAUUUUUGUGUGCAAGUCUUAAAUUACCAUACGAAACUAUUUCUAGGCUCGGAAUCUCAAUAAGACCUCGAAACACCAAAACUACUUCAAACCAAAUUUAAAGAACUUGAAAACUUUAAUGUGCCAACUUUCAACUUUGUGUAUCGAAAUGCUCCCGGUCAUCCGAAACACGAUCCUACCAUGCGUCCAAGUCUAAAAUUAUCAUACGAACCUAUUGGAACCGUCAAAACCUAGUUCCUUAGGUCGUUUACUCAAAACGUUGAUUCAAGUCAAACUUAACCUUUUUAUGCCACUAUUAAGGAACUAACCAUCCCGCAAGUCAUAAAAGAGUAAAAGAACAUACAGGGAGUCUUAUUUCGGGAAACAGGGAUCUAGUGAAGAUAGAUUUCAGACAAUUCAAUCUAUUACAACAAAAUUCAACAAAAGAAAGACCUACAUAGAGGAGUCUAACAACCACUAUAAUAAUACGAGUAUAACCAAAAAUUCUAGUAGUAACAAAUUACUAGUUAAUUUGUUCACCGUAGUAUACAUAACUCUUUUUGUUUACAAAUUGCUCCAUAGUGAGAAUUAUUUACCGAUUUGAACUCUUUUAUCCCCUUAAAAUGGCCUUGGUUUCUCCGAUUUAAGUUUUCAAUUCAUAAAUAAACUAAUAUCCAAUCAAUUCAACUGAUUGCCUCAGUUUCAAACAAAGUUGGAGUCAAUUAUAUGUAUCCUCAUUAAUCGUUACUCUUUUUUAAGAUCAAAAUCAUUCAAAUUCUACUUUGCUUAUAGCUAAUUUUUCUUUUAAAGCAAUCAUAAACUCUCAAGAAACUAGAGGAUCUCUAAAUAUUCUUUCUUCAUAUAAACACUAAAGUUCUACUUUCUAUUCAUCAAAGCUCGUUGUACAUAAUUAGCAGCUCUCUAAAUCUACGGCUUCUCUAGAUCAUUACACAUCUUGCUUCAUAAACGUUGCAAAUAUAAACAAUAAAGUUCAAUUUUUUAUUCAAUUAAAAUGAUAAUAAAAACAUAAUGGAUAACUUUUAUUCAUCAAAACUAGUAACAAAAUAAGUAAAUAUUUCAGAAUCAAUUCAAAAUUUCAAGAAUUAAACCUUAAUAAGAAAAUUAGCCAAAAACUUUAAUUUACAUAAAAAUUGGAAAAAUAGAAAAACUAACCUUGAUGUCGCAGUGGACCCACCAGAGUGGUUUCGUCGGGCCUGCUGGAGUGGUGUUGCCAAACUAGAAUAAAAUAAAAAAAACAUGUUAGGAAUUUAAGUGGGAAAAGGCAAAACAGGCGGGCGGGCGGGCGACAGACAGAGAGAGAGAGAUAGAAAGAGCGAGAGGUGGACUGACCAAAGGGGGAGAGACUAUCUCUCCGGAGCCGGUGAGGAAGAGAGAAGCGGUGUCGGUAAGGUGGAGAAGACAACGAUGGUGAAGAGGAAGGCAAAAGUGAAGAAAAUAAAGAGAGAAGAGAAAGGAAGAAGGACUGUUGGGCGGGACCAUAAAAAAGAAUUUCAACCGAAAUGGUCGGAGCGUUAUUUCAUUUUUUUUAAAAUUCUAAAGUGAGACCGAAUCAGUCGCAAAUUUGGUCAAACUAGUGAGAUCUCAUAAAUGGCACAUUCGGUCGCAAAUUUUUAUUUUAUUUUUUUUAUACUUUUGCAAUUGAAACGGUCGGAACUUUACUUUAAUUUUAAUUUUUUUUUAAAGUGUGACCAAAUCGGUCGUAAACUAGGUCAAACUAGUCAAACCCAGGCAGUCGUUUUGAGUGUUGUAGCCAUGCUCCCUUAUUUAUUGCUGAUUUUAUGUUUAAUUAUUGUUAUGUGACUUUCCGGGGUGGUUGAUUCCAUUUUGGGGAUGUUUCAGAAUGAGAUGAGACACUUAGUCUCAAGGUUGGAAGCUUAAGUUGAAAACGGUUGAUCGAAUAUUGACUUAUAUGUAAACGACUCCGAAAUGGAGUUUUGAUGGUCUGAAUAGCUCUGUUGGGUAAUUUUGGACUUAGGAGUGUGUCCAUAUAGUGAUUUGGAGGUCCGUAGUUGAUUUAAGCUUGAAAUAGCGAGAGUUGGAAAAUUAGAAGUUUUAGAAAUUUAAAAGUUUGACCGAGAGUUAAAUUUGUGGUUACCGGGCUCCGAUUGGGGUUUCAAGAGUUGGAGUAGGUCCGUUGUGUCAUUUAUUGUGUGCGAAAUUUGAGGUCAAUCGGACGUGAUUUGAUAGGUUUCAGCAUCGAUUGUAGAAGUUGGAAUUUCCUAGUUUUCAUCAGGCUUGAAUUGAGGUGUGAUUCGUGUUUUUGAUGUUGUUUGAUAUGAUUUGAGGGAUCGACUAAGUUCGUAUCAUGUUUUAGGACUUGUUGCUAUAUUGGUUGAGGUCCCGGGGGCCUCGGGCAGAGUUCGGAUAGUUCACGGAUCAAGUAUGGAAUUUGAAAAACUUUUGUAGUUCAUCAGGUCUGGUGCUAUCACACAUGCGUAGUUUUGAUCGCAUGGGCGAGCUUGCAUAAGCGAGCAGAGGAGCACAGAUGCAGCCUGGAGAGGGGUGUGCAGUGGUCGAAGGUGCGAGGGUAUUUCCGCACCUGCGUGGUCGCAGAUGCGGAGUAUGGGUGCAGAAGAGGGAUUAGUGAGGAAGUUGUGGAGCACAGAUACGGAGGAAGUUCCGCAGAUGCGGACUCGCACCUGCGCGUGUGGGAUUGCAGAAGCGAAGGUAGAGACCUCAGGUAUAACCUCAGAAGCGGGGAAGUUCCCGCACCUGCGAGAUCGCAAAUGCAGUUAAGUAGGUCGUAGGUGCGAAAGCACUUGAAGUGUUAAAUCCGAAGGGUUUCGUAAUUUUUCUCAUUUUGGACUUUGCAAACUAGGUUUAACGCGAUUUGUGACAGGGAUUUCAAAGGGUUUCUUGAGGUAAGUCACUUGUGGUCAUUUUUAUUCAAUAAUCUUAUUUCCCCAUUGAAAAUUUUACCUAGUUUGUGUGAUUCUGUGGAACUGUAUAGUUGAAUAAUCUUGUCGUUAUAUUAUAUUUUCCAUAUGUUAGAGAAAUUGAGCUGCAAGUCAUGGUAGAAAUCUUACUUAGGCCACAUGUUGGUACUGUUGGUACCCACAAAGGUCGUGUUACAUGUUGAAUUAUUUGCUUAGUUUGAAAUUUUAUACUCAGUCACAACUAUUAUUUGCAUAUCAUAUCUGAGUUUCUGUUGUCCUUUAUUGAUACAUCAUAUCAUCAUUGUUUGGGCUGAUUAUCCUAAUUCUUGUAAGCCCGAGAGCCUAGAGAGAUUGAUGGCUGAGUAAGACCGAGGGCUUGAUUGUGAGGAUAUUUAUGGGAUCGGGUUGUAUGCAGAAACAUGUUUAUUUGAUUCAUGCCAUGAUUGGCUUGUUAUAGCAGUUAGCUGGAACUCCCUUCCAGAGUCUGCACAUCCACAGUGAGCGCAGGUACCUACAGAGUGCGAGUGCUGAGCGAUUGGGAUGAUUGAGUGACUGUGAGGAUGGAGGGACUAUGAGGAUGGAGUGAAUGGGAGGACUGAGUGAUUGAUACUUUGAGGGUAUGCAUAUGAUUUCAUUACUGUUUUGUACUUUAGUUGGCAUAUAUAACUGACAUGUAGAUAUUGAGAUGUACCAUAUAUGUUUUCAAUUGAACUUGACAUGAUUUACGUAUUUGGGAUUUAACUAUUAAACUUGAAAGCAUGCUUACGUUUCUGUACUAUAAUUCUGUAAUUGAACUAUACAUGUGUGGCUCAUGACUACUUUCAGCCCAAUAGUUAGGGUUGUUACUUACUCAGUUGGUUGUACUCACGCUACACCCUGAACUUCGUUUGCAGAUCCAUAUUUUUCCGGACACGGUGAUUGCUGAUUCUCAGAGUUUUCCAGUUAUUCGGAGAUUUUCUAGGUAGUUGAUUGAUGCCCGCAGACCUUGACUCUCCUCCCUAUCCCUUAGCUUUAUCUAGUUUUAUGAGAGUUUUACUUAUUUAAAUCUGUUUUAGUAUAUUUUAAAUUUGAAAGUGUUGUUAAUGUCUAAGUUGUCGGCUUGCCUAGUACCAUGAUAAGUGCCAUCAUGACAGGUUGAGUUUUGGGUCGUGACAAGUUAGUAUCAGAGCCUAAGUUACAUAGGGCUCAAGAGUCAUGCGCAGGUUUAGUAGAGUCUUGCGGAUCGGUACAGAUACGUCUGUACUUAUCUUCGAGAGGCUGGAAAACCCUUAGGAAAACUUCACAUUCUUGUAUUCCUGUCGUGCAGAUUUGUUAAUUCUGGGAACUAAACUUCCGUUAUUCUAUUCUCUCACAGAUGGUGAGGAUAUGUACUACCGAACAAGAUGGACAGCCACCAGUACCACAAGCUAGGGCCUCGAGAGGUCGGGACCACGGUAGGGGUCGUUGUAGGGGCCGAGGUGCAGCUCGUACACCAAUUAGAGAAGCACCCACAGAUCCACCAGUUGCUCCAGCUCAGGAGAAGGUUCCAGAUAUGGUAGAGCCAGUUGAGCCAGCUUAGGAACCAGUUGUGCCCAUUGUGAUUCUAGGCCUUCAGAAGUCUUUGGCUCAGAUAUUGAUUGUAUGCACUAGCCUUGCUUAGGCGGUUUAUAUUCAGACCGCGCUAGCCACUUCUCAGGGUAGGAGAGGUACUCAGACUCCCGAUGCCCGUACUCUAGAGCAGGUAAUGUAGGGACUUCAGAUAUCGGGGGUAUUACCAGCCCAUCCGGUCGUGGUUGCUCAGGACAAACAUGGUCCCAUUAUGACUGAUGAGGACCAGAAGAGGCUAGAGAGAUUUGGGAGUCUCGUGCCUCCAUCAUUCAAUGGGGUUGAGUCAGAGGAUGCCCAAAACUUCUUGGAUAAGUGCCAGCGAAUUCUUCGCACGACGGGUAUUCUGGAGACCAGUGGGGUCUCAUUCACUAUUUUUUAGUUUUUUGGGGUUGCCUUCAGAUGAUGGGAGGCCUAUGAGAAGCGUAGUCCAGUCAGUGCGGCACCACUUACAUGGCAUGAGUUCACCGUUCUCUUAUUGGAGAAGUUUGUGCCACAGACCCGCAGGGAAGAGCUGCGCAGAUAGUUCGAGCAACCACGUCAGGAUAUCAUGUCUAUGACCAGUAUGAGAUGCAAUUUUCAAAGUUGGCUCAUCACGCAGCUUGGUUGGUUCCCACUGAGAGGGAAGGAUUAGGAGGUUCAUUAAUGGCCUCCACUAUCAGUUACGUUUUAUUAUGUCACGGGAGAGUGUAUCAGGUGCUAUGUUCGACGAGGUGGUUGAUAUUGCUCGGGAGAGUGCUACGUUUUAUCAUGAGAGUGGGGAGAGGGAGGCCAAGAGGCCUCGUGGUUUGGGUGGUUUGGGUGGUGUUCCUUCUGGGGGCAGUCCUACCACAGUAGGGGACGUCCUUAUAGGAUCGCUCAGAUGGCUCGCCCAGUUCAUCGUCGUGCAUCAUCUAGUCAUAGUUCAUACAGUGCCAGUCCUGGUCAGUCAUCUCUCAGUGCUCUCCCGGCUCAGAGCUCAUCUCGUGCUCCAUCGGUUUAGGGUUCAUCUGUGCCAGGUAGGGGUGUUCAUAAAAAUCCAAAAAACCAAACCAAACCGAAAACCGAACCAAACUGACCAGAAAACCGAUACUUUUUAGGUUUGGUUUGGUUUUGGUUUUGAAUUUUAAAAACCGAUCAAAUUUGGUUUGGUUUUGGUUNNNNNNNNNNNNNNNNNNNNNNNNNAAUCGAUAAAAAAACCGACUUAAUUGGUUUGGUUUGGUUCCAAUAUUUGAAGAACUGACUUAUUUGGUUUGUUUUCUUUUAGGGAAAAAUCGAUCCAAACCGAACCAUGAACACCUCUAGUGCCAGGUCAUUCUAGCAGUUACUCUGGUAUCCCCAUUGCCCGGGAGAUCCAGUGCAGCAGAGGAGUCAGGUUGCGACUUCCGCACCAGUUACUUCACCACCCGCCUAGUGAUAAGUAGGGAUUUUGACUGCUUAUUAGCACUUUUUUUCUCUUGUCUUAGUCCGAAAGUAUCGAAUUAUGUUCCCAAAACUAAUGAAAUCGUGCAAAUUGUAGGAAUACUGGAAGUUUGGUCUCCCAUGAUGAACUCUGACUAAAAAAGGAGCCUUCCUAAGCACAAGGCAUUAAAGGGAGUAGAAGCAUAGAUGUGUAGUCUGCAGAAGGAAUUCUGCAGCCGGAGAAGAAAUUGCGGACCACAAAAUUUCAUUUGCGACCGCAAACCAAGAAUGAAACCCAAACAGGACUUUCAGCAAUGUGCGACCGCAGACCUGGGCUUUAACUGAGAGAUUCAAAGUUCAGAGAAUAUGCAAAAAGACCAAGUCCUGAAGCCCUUGUGAAGAGCGGACCGCACAAGAAUUGUGCAGCUACAGAAAAUUGCCUCGCGGCCGCAGUCCAGAAAUGUGCAGUCGCAGAACUUACAUUCUUGCCAGCUGAAGAACUCUGCGGACUGCACAUGGAAUUGUGCGGCCGCAGAACCUCCUGAGGGGUAUUUUUGUCCGCAAUUAUUGGCUCUGUAUAAAUAAGCGAGUUUCACAAAAUUAGGUCAAGUUUGAACAUCGAAAGUUGUUGUAGUCGUUUCAAUUUACUAUUUUAGGAAGUUUUAGCUUAUUUGAGUAUAUUAACACUAGACUAAAUCAUUUUAAUCUUUCAUUGUGAGUUUAAUUAGAUUUUCUUCUCUAUUUUCUGUAAUUUCCAAUAUGAGUAGAUAGACUUUUACUAGGGUUGUGACCCAACCCUAGUGUGCAAACCUUAUGGGUGAUUAUAUUAAUGUUUGUUUAUAAUUAGGUAUUGAUUAUUUAACUUAGUUUAUUCUUCAAUUUUAGAUUUAAUGGUUGCAAACAUUGAUUCAUGCCUAUUUUACUUAGUCUCUACUUGAGAAAGAGGGACCUAGUCUAGGAUAACUUAAAUAACAAGGAAUUGGAUUAAUUGAGAGAUUAAUAAACCUGAUUAAAGGGUUCAAACUAGAGAUAGUAAGGAGCCGACUUGAGCUCAUAUCAACUGUUAUAAGUGAUACCCAUUGGGACUUAAGAAAGCCAAAUUGGACAAAAUCACUCUCUAACCGAGAGGUAUUGAGUGGAUAUCGUAGAGUUGAGAGCUAUAAUACACCCCAAUCAACAAAACAAACAUUAACGUCUUUAUCCCAUUAGGAAAACACCUAGGUUAUAGUCACAUUCCUAGUCCUUUAAACUAUUUGGUAAAACCUCAAAAUGUUUUAUCUCUAAUCUAUUUUCUUUAGCCUACAUUCAUUAGAGUAACUGUAGCCGUAGAAAACAAAACUCUAUUGUGGAAGUGCAAUCUUAGAUCGUCCAUUUCCUUGCUUCAGAUAUAUACCCCUAACACCCCUCAUAACUCUCAGUGGAUUCGACCCCGACUUCUAGUUAGGUAAUUAUUAUUGCAUACGACCGUAUCAUAUCUCUUAUUGAGGUGUGUUUUGGACGUCAUCAAUUUUUGGCGUCGUUGUCGGGGAGUCAAAACGGUGUUAGCUACAUAUUUGGGUUUAUUUUUGGAAUAUCUCAAUUUCCUUCCGUUUUACUAACUUUUGGAAAUAAUUUUAGGUACAAUCAUGGCGGAAAACAAUGAACUCGGAAAUAUGCCUUUGGGGGAUGUGGACGUUGAGGAUGAGCAAGUUGAUGAGGUUCCACCUGAACUUCAAGACAAUAGAAGAGGAUGUGCACCUCAUGACAAUGUUCCUGCUCCACCCCCACCUCCACCAUGAGUGGAUCCACACCGGGUGUUACCUAAUGAAGGGUAUGAUAGUGCAAUAGUCCAUCCCCGUAUUAGGACGGGCAACUUUCAAAUCACCAAUGUGAUGCUCACUUUGCUAGAGCAACGAGGUUUCUUCACCGGUGCUCCAAGUCAAAAAGCGUAUAAAUAUUUGAAGGGGUUUGUGGAUAAUUAUUAUGGGAGCAAACAAACAAAUGUCUCCGAGGAUGCAUUGAGGCUAAGGCUUUUUCCCUUUUCACUAUGAGGAAAAGCUUUACAUUGGUUGGAACGAUUACCGAACCAUUCCAUUUGUACUUGGGAUGUGUAGGUGGAAAGAUUUAUUGCUAAGUUUUUCUCUCUCGGGUAUAUGGCUACACUUAGAGAUGCGAUUUUGGCAUUCAAGCAAGAGCCAAUGAACCACUACACGAGAUAUGGGAGCGAUAUAGAACAAUGGUCAAGGAAUGUCCCAACAACGAUAUAAGGGAAAAGAUUAUUCAACAAACCUUCUAUCGUGGGAUUAACACAACCAACCAAUGUGUAGUGAAUCAACUUGCCGGUGGAAACUUUAUGACUGCACCUUAUGCGGAGGCUUGUGAGAUUUUGGAUGAAAUGGCGGAAAUAUCAUCGGCAUGGAAAUCUCGGGCCAAUAUACCAUAAGGUGAUCCGAACAUGAUCUACCUUCAAAAAGAGUUGCAUGACCAUGGGCAAGCCAUUCCGAAUUAACUACUACCAUGAAUCAACAUCAAGUGCAAAAUUCUAAGCAAGUCAAUUCCAUGUAAGGGGUACACAUGAUGGUAAACAAUAUAAGGACCAAGGGUCCUCAAGUGCAAAAUCAAAUGGAGAAUUAUGUGCAAGAGGAUAGUGGUUUUGAUCAAGAUGAUUCUUAUAAUGAAGAAGAAGAGGAGGUGCAAUAUGUGAAGAAUUUUCAAGGGCAAAGAAAUAACUUCCAAGGCCAAAACCAACAACAAUGGCGACCUCAAAACAAUCAAGGCAACUGGAAUUCUAACAAUCAAGGAAACUGGAGUGGUGGCAAUAACCAAGUAAAUUGGAGUGGAAACAAUCAAUGGAGUUGGCAUAACAACAACAACCAAGGAAUUGGAGUGAGAAAUAAUCAAGGAAAUUGGACGGGAGUAACAAUCAAGGCGGAUAGAACAACAAUCAAGGGAAUCAGGGGUCGGGUUUUCAAAGGCCUCGAUGUAUCAACAACCGAGCAACUCGCCUCCUUAUCCUUCCCAUGGUCUAACCUCUUUAAACAAUGAGAUGAGACGUAUUGAGAACAUGUUCAAGAAAAUUAUGGAAAAGAAUGCCGAUUAGGAUGCCCAACUUACCUCACACAACACAUCAAUCCGCAACUUAGAAGUUCAAAUGGGGCAAAUAUCUCAAGCUCUAAAUUCUCGUCCUAAGGGAGUACUACCAAGUGACACGGUGGUAAACCUAAAGGGUGGAAACAACAUGGGGCAUUCCAUGGCCGUUACUACAAGAAGUGGAAGAGGUGAGAAUGCACCUAUCUCAAAUCAAAGGCAACUUGUUGAUGGUGAAAAAUUGGUGGAAGAAGAGAAGAUCCCGAAUAAUAUGGUGCAACCUAAUGAUGAGGUUCAGAUUGAUAUUGAUGAUAGUGUGGAAGAGACUCAAGAGGAGGUGAACCCUCAAGAAGCGGUCAAUGAAUUUUGAAACUAUCAAAGUCACUCAUCAAGUGAGUGCAAUUGCGCACUCAAUGGCUCCUAAGUUGAAGGAUCCCGGUGCUUUCACAAUUCCUUGUACAAUUGGAAGUGCCGAGUUUUCCAAAGCUCCUUGUGAUCUUGGGGCAAGUGUCAAUUUUAUACCCUAUUCGAUUUUUAAGACAUUGGGAAUUGGGAAACCAAGGACCACCUUUAUGAGAUUACAAAUGGUCGAUCGUACUAUGAAGAGACCUUUGGGAGUGAUUGAAUAUGUCUUGGUUCGUGUUGAUAAAUUCAUUCUUCCGGCUGAUUUUGUCAUUCUAGAUUGCGAAUUUGAUUACGAGGUGUCAAUUAUUCUUGGGAGACCUUUCCUUGAUAUGGGGAAGGCUCUUUGUGAUGUUGAAGCCGGAGAACUUACAUUCCGGGUUGGUGAUGAAAAGGUGAUUUUCCAUGUGUGUAAGUCCAUGCGGCAACCGAAUAACAAUGAGGUGUUCUCUUUUGUGGACUUGGUGACCGAUGUUAUUGUUGAUAANNNNNNNNNNNNNNNNNNNNNNNNNNCUUCUCCUACAAAGCCUUCUAUUGAAAAGCCUCCUACUUUGGAGUUGAAGCCAUUUCCUCCACAUCUUCGGUAUGAAUUUCUUGGUCCUUGUUCUACUUUACCGGUUAUUCUUUCCUCUUGUUUAACUAACGUGCAGGUAGAUUCCACUUUGACAGUGCUACAAAAGAAGAAGAAGAAGAAGAAGAAGAAGUCUAUUGGGUGGACCUUGGCGGAUAUUCGGGGAAUAAGCCCUGCAUUUUGCAUGCAUAAUAUAAACUUGUAGGAUGGUGCCAAACCAUCUAUUGAACAUCAAAGGAGACUCUGUGAGUAUAUGCAAGAAGUUGUCAAAAAGGAGAUAAUCAAGUGGUUGGAUGCUGGUGCUGUCCACCCCAUCUCUGAUAGUUCAUGGACUUCUCCGGUUCAAAGUGUCCCAAAGAAGGGGGGCAUACUGGUAGUCACCAAUGACAAGAAUGAGUAGAUUCAUACAAGAACGAUGAUCGGUUGGAGAGUGUGUAUGGACUAUCUCAGACUCAACAAAGUCACAAGGAACACUUUGCACUUCCUUUCUUAGAUCAAAUGCUCGAUAGAUUGGCCAGUUGUGCUUUCUAUUUCUUUCUUGAUAGGUAUUCGGGCUACAACCAAAUUCUUAUUGCUCCAGAAAAUCAGGAGAAAACAACCCUUACAUGUCCCUAUGGUACUUUUGCUUUCAAGCGAAUGCCAUUUGGUUUGUGCAAUGCACCGACAACUUUUCAAAGGUAUAUGAUGGCUACUUUCACGAACAUGGUGGAGGACUACCUUGAAAUUUUCAUGGAUGAUUUCUCGAUGGUUAGAGAUGUUUAGAAUGUUCUUGCAAAUUUGGAUAAAGUGUUGGCAAGAAGUGAAGAAACAAAUUUGGUGAUCAAUUGGGAGAAAUGUCAUUUCAUGGUCGAGGAGGGAAUUGUCCUUGGCCCCAAGAUCUCAAAGAAUGGAAUUGAAGUUGAUAAGGCAAAUAUUGAGGUAAUUUCUAAACUUCCACCUCCAACUUCGGUGAACAUUGUGCGGAGUUUCUUAGGCCACACAUGGUUCUACCGGCAGUUCAUUAAAGCUUUUUCUAAGGUGGUGAACCCGUUGUGCAAACUUUUCAAGAAGUAUGCUAAGUUUAACUUCAAUGAUGAUUACAUGGGAGCUUUUUAAUUGUUAAAUUUCAAGUAAAUAACUACUCCCAUAUCACCACUCCAAAUUGGAGUGUCCCUUUUGAACUCAUGUAUGAUGCAAGUGACGUAGUGGUUGGGGCUGUUUUGGGGAAACACAUCAACACGAUUUUUCAUCCAGUCUACUAUGAUAGUAAGACCAUGAAUAGUGCCCAAGUCAAUAACACUGUUAUAGAGAAAGCGCUCAUUGCCAUUGUGUUUGCAACUGAGAAGUUUCGCCCGUACUUGAUCGGUGCAAAAGUUAUUAUCCACACGAAUCAUGCGAUUCUUCGUUAUCUUAUGAGCAGGAAAGAUUCCAAAGUUCGGUUGAUGAGGUUGGUGCUUUUGUUGCAAGAGUUUGGUAUUGACAUCCAGGAUAGAAAAGGAAGUGAAAACCAAGUGGCUGACCACUUGUCUCGUUUGGAGGAGGAGGGGAGGCCGCAUGAUGGCCUUGAAAUCAAUUACUCCUUCCCCGAUAAGGAACUCUUGGUUAUUUCAAUGGAAUAGGUGCCACGGUUCGUGGAUCUAGAAAAUAUCAUCAUGUGUGGAAUCAUCCCGGAUGAGUUCUCCUCAAACCAAAGGAAAAAGCUCAAAUGGGAUUGUCAAGAUUAUUAUUGGGAUGAAUCAUACCUCUUUCGGAUUUGUACGGAUUGGGUGAUUAGAAGAUGUGUAUAGGAAGAAGAAGAACAAGGUGGAAUUCUUGGGGUUUGUCAUUCUUCGCCACAUGGUGGUCAUCAUGGUGGAGAGAGAACGGUAACCAAAUUACUUAGUUGUAGUUUCUAUUGGCCCACUCUUUACAAGGAUGCAAGUGAUUUAAUGAAAAGAUGUGAUGAAUGUCAAAUGGCUGGUGGAAUCUCAAUGAAAAAUGAAAUGCCUCUCACUACCAUUUUGGAGAUUGAUAUUUUUGAUGUGUGGGGUAUCCACUUCAUGGGUUCUUUUGUGAGUUCUUGUGGAAAUACCUACAUCUUGGUUGCGGUAGAUUAUGUGUUCAAAUGGGUUGAGGUCAUCGCACUACCCAACAAUGAGGCGACAAGUGUGGUGGCGUUCUUGAAGAAAAAUAUUUUCACAAAGUUUGGUACUCUGUGGACUAUUAUAAGCGAUGGGGGUCACAUUUUUGCAACAAGGCUUUCGACACUUUACUUGGAAAGUAUGGUGUUACUCAUAAAGUCACAACUCCCUAUCAUCCACGAGCUAUCGUUCAAGUGGAAGUCUCCAACCGGGAGAUAAAGAGUAUUUUGUCCAAAAUAGUGAAUGCUAACCGGAUGGAUUGGUCCAAGAAGCUUGAUGAUGCAUUAUGGACUUAUCGGACGGCUUAUAAAACACAUAUCGGAAUGUCACCAUACCAGUUGGUGUUCGGGAAAGCUUGUCACCUUUCAGUGAAAUUUGAGCACAAAGCCAUGUGGGCUCUAAAGAAGUUGAAUCUUGAUUGGGAUAUAGCCGCUAACUUGAGGGUUGCACAUUUGAAUGAAUUGAAUGAGUUUCGGUAACAUGCUUAUGGAAGUUCAUCCUUGUACAAAUAAAAUAUGAAAUAUCUUCAUGACAAAUACAUUUGGAUCAAAGAGUUCAAAGUGGGCGAUCUUGUAUUGUUAUUUAAUUCAGGGUUGAGGAUGUUUUCCGGGAAGCUAAAGUUCAAAUGGACUGGUCCUUUUGAAAUUGUGGGUGUGAUACCUUUUGGUGCAUUGGACUUGAAAAAUAAAAACAAUAAAGUAUUUCGAGUCAAUGGUCAUUGGGUGAAGCACUACUUGGGAAAAGUUGGAGAUAGCCACGUCGUAGCGGUCAUUCAUUUCAAUUGAUGGUAUUAUGCAUCGUGCCACGACGUUAAAUCAGGCGCUUCUUGGUAGGCAACUCAUAUUUAUUUUCCUUUUUCUUUUGUAGUUAGGUGUUGUUUUUAUUCUAACUUGAUUCGAAGUGUGCUACAGGCUGAGCGUGACUUACAGGAAUUGUGGACAAAAAUCUGGCUAAGUGUGGACCGCAGGUGAUUUGUGCGAAUCACACAUUUUUGGGUGCUAUAGCAAAGGAACAUUGCGACCGCACAAUUGGUUUGAGGACCUCACAAAUGAGAGGUUGAAAAUAUCAACUCUCUAAAGUUUUGACUGUCAGAGAAAAGGUCGAUCUGCUACCACACAUGAAAUAUGUGACCGCAAAUGAAAUCUGCGGCCGCACACAAAAUUGUGUGGACCGCAGAUGAGAUGCUGAGACAAGAGUACCAUAUAACAGAGUGCAGACCGCACAUGAAAUUGUGCGGCCGCACAUUAUCUUAUUUCCCUCAGAAAUUCAAAUCAUAUAAAUAGAGGGAUAUGGCCACAAUUACGUUUAUUUCUCUCUCUGAGCACAAAACUAGUAAUCUCUUGAAAUUUCUUGGUGAUUUUAUCUGUCCACACACACAACAUCUAUGAUCAGUCACUCAUCACACGCAUUCAUCUAGUAUGCUUCAAUUUCUUAUUAAUUUUUUUCUUUCUUUUAAUUUGUAUAUUUUUAGUUAUUUUUAGGUCAUUUGUCAUUAGAAUUAAACUAUGUAUCCAUUUGGGGGUAAAUCUAUAAUGGGUCAACUAAUACAUGUUCUAUGGGAACUAGGUAAACAUAUUUUCAUGUAUCUAUGAUGUUGCCAUAUCAAAUUGUGCACAAAAUUGCAAAACCUAGAUAGAAUUAUUGAAUUGUACGUCAUUUUUGAACUUUGCGGCCGCACUUGAAUUUGUGCGGUCCGCGGAUGUGGAAUGUAGGGAAACCUAGGGAAGAAGUCAUUCUGCGGUCGCAGGUUAAAUUGUGCGGACAACAGAAUUCUCAUCGUGGCUGCAGAACACCCCAGCUACUAUCAUCAGAGAGUCUACACUUUCUAACUCCAAUGUGCAGUUACAUGUCAAAUUGUGCGGACUGCAUAAAUCAUGUUGCGGUCGCACAUCAGCCAAUUCUCUGUCAUCGGAGAGUUGGCAUUUUUGGGUCUCAGAGGUGCGGCCGCAAGUGAAAUUAUGUGGACCGGACUUCACUUUUGCAGCCGCACAUAAUAAAAGUGCGGUUCACAAGUCCUCAUCUGCGGACACAAGAAAAUUGUGGGCCCCGUAAUUCUUAACCCUUCAAGCAUGUUGUGUCUGUGAACCAUCACUGUGUCUUCUGGUUUAUAUCCUACCUGCAUAUCUCCUAUUUAUGUUUGAACAUUGAAUUGCAACUAACAAUCUGACAUAUCUACGAAAUCAAUCUCACAUAUAAAGCCAAGAAAAAUAUUAAAGGUCAAACAAAUUGCAAAUAUGUUCAGUUACAAUUCCCUAUUCAACGCUGAAUUAUCACAAAUCCUUGAGAAAAGAAAAAUUCGUUGUUUCAUGCAUCUGGAUUACUUCGCCAUUUCAAACAUUUUACAGGUCAAUGUUCCAUACACGUUAGUUACAUAUCAAAACAACAGAAGUCAGGAUUUAAGCAGAUCCAUAUAAAUGAGGCAGAAAUCUAGCAGUUUUUCAAUCAUUCAAAUGAAAACAGCAUACAAGGAAGUGUAGAACUAACCUAUUUGUAGAGGAAGACACAAAGAGUUCAGCAGCCUGUUGAAAUUUUUGGCAAAAUCCGCAACAAACAGCCGUAAGUUUGCGCUUUGAUAGCUUCGUUCAAGUCCAGAAAAGAGGAAAUUGACUUUUUGAAACUUCAGUAAUCAAUACCCUUUUUAAAAUUUGCUUUGAAAUCCAGUUUCCUUUUUGUUUUCCGGACCUUUGUGAUUUUCAGAUCUGGUUUUCAGAUUUUUGAAUUCCAAAACUUGCUUUUAGCUUUCUAAUGUGUGGUGUGCGUGUAUGUGAGAGAGGAGAGUGUGGAGCUGAGCCUGUCGUUCCGUGAGAGGUGAGUGAGGUGGGCUACAAGCCACGGUGGAAGUUAUAUAAAGACGAUGUCCUUGUGGUAAAAUAUUUAUGAGUUUAAAUUUUUCCUUCGUGAAGUUUAAAUUUAUACUAUAGUACUAAUAGAGAGUUAUGCCUGAUAGGUUUAUGUGAUAAUUCUUUUAUGUAUUUAUGUGCAGUAAUUAUAUUGUAAUUAUUGAGUUUUA
rnacentral:lncRNA from 1 species